GUCUUUAGGUUAAGUGAAAACCGUACGUCUUCAAAACGUGAGAUUUUUGUAACGGCUUGGG
rnacentral:tRNA from 1 species